rnacentral:rRNA from 1 species
AUUGAACGCUGGCGGCAGGCCUAACACAUGCAAGUCGAGCGGAGCGGGGGACGGGUGAGUAAUGCCUAGGAAUCUGACUGGUAGUGGGGGAUAAAGUCCGGAAACGGGCGCUAAUACCGCAUAGUAUCAGAUGAGCCUAGGUCGGGUUAGCUCGUUGGUGGGGUAAAGGCAUACACAGGCGACGAUCCGUAACUGGUCUGAGAGGAUGAUCAGUCACACUGGAACUGAGACCCGGUCCAGACUCCUACGUGAGGCAGCAGUGGGGAAUAUUGGACAAUGGGCGAAAGCCUGAUCCAGCCAUCCCGCGUGUGUGAAGAAGGUCUUCGGAGUGUAAAGCACUUUAAGUUGGGAGGCGUUACCAACAGAAUAAGCACCGGCUAACUUCGUGCCAGCAGCCGCGGUAAUAC